GUCUCUUUGGGGAUAUUUAAUAUAAUUGGAAUGAUACAGAGAAUAUUAGUAUGGUCCCUACACAAGGAUGACAUGCAUAAAUCAAGAAAUGGUCCAAAUUUUU